UGAAAUUGUAACUGCCCAAAUGCUUCUACACAAGGGUUCUAUUUAUAGAACCACUUGUGUGGGCUACAAGCUAAAAAGCCCACUCAAGUGUAUGUGGCCCAUAUCUUAUAAUAUGCCAAAAUCACUUAAGCGCGUGAUACCUUACCAUAUUUCGUAUUCUACUUAAGUACAUCGUACCUUACAAUGUUCUAUAAUUCACUUAAGUGCACAGUACAUUACGUUA
rnacentral:lncRNA from 1 species